GGCGGAAGAAGAUUUUGGUGCCAUUGAUCCUGACGGUGAAUAACCCGGUGCAUACGACGGAGGAGCUGGCGGAGAAGUCACCGGAGAAGUUGCCGGAGAAACAGGGGAAGAUGAUUUAGGUGACAUUGAUCCCGGCGGUGAAGAACCCGGUGCAUACGACGGAGGAGCUGGCGGAGAAGUUGCCGGAGAACCAGCGGAGGAAGAUUUAGGUGGCAUUGAACCCGGCGGAGAAGUCACCGGAGAAGACGACGGAGAACCAGGGGAAGAUGAUUUAGGUGACAUUGAUCCCGGCGGAGAAGAUGACGGAGAACCAGGGAAUGAGGAUUUAGGUGGCAUUGAUCCCGGCGGAGAAGUCAUCGGAGCAGAGGACGGAGAACCAGGGGAAGAGGAUUUAGGUGGCAUAGGUGCGGGUGGAGAAGUCGACGGAGACAUAUGAGAGGAAGAUUUAGGUGCCAUUGAACCUGGUGGAGAAGUUGCCGGAGACUUAGCGGAGGAUGAUUUAGGUGGCAUUGAUCCCGGCGGAGAAGUCACUGGAGAAGAAGACGGAGAAACAGGGGAAGAUGAUUUAGGUGGUGUAUGUGCCGGUGGAGACGUCGCCGGAGAAACAGGGGAUGAAGAUGAUUUAGGUGGCAUUGUUCCCGGUGGAGAAGUCACCGGAGAAACAGGGGAAGUAGAUUUAGGUGGCAUAGGUGCCGGUGGAGAAGUCGCCGGAGAAACAUGGGAAGAAGACUUAGGUGGCAUUGAUCCCGGCGGAGAAGUCACCGGAGCAGAAGACGGAGAAACAGGGGAAGAAGAUUUAGGUGGCGUAGGUGCGGGUGGAGAAGUCGCCGGAGAAACAGGGGAAGAGGAUUUAGGUGGUGUGUGUGCGGGUGGAGAAGUGGCCGGAGAAACAUGGGAAGAAGACUUAGGUGGAAUUGAUCCCGGAGGAGAUUUUCCCGGUGAUGCUGCUUGAGGAGGAGCCGGAGUUCUAACGGACAAGACAACGACAGUAAGCUUUUGUCCCUUCUUACAGUUAUCUUCAUUGCCACUGAUGAAGUAAAAUGGACCAGAGCGUUC
rnacentral:lncRNA from 1 species